AAGUAAGCUUGAUUUUAUCCAUUUCAUUAUUUACAGAUGUACAUUUUUAGUUCAUUAUCUGAUCUUAUAUUCAGAUUAUUUUCGUUACAGGAUUUACUUGAUUUUUUUCUUCUUCACGACCUAUAUAAAUUCUACCCAAAAUCCAUUAAAUAGGGUUAAAGAAAUUGACCUAUGUAAAAUAUAACUAUAUAAGAAUGGCUGGAAACCGGGGUGAAAUAAAAAUGAUAAAAGUUUUUAUAGGAAGAUAUUAAUAAUGUACCUAUAAUUUGUUUAUAAACCUUAUUUUCAAAUCCCAUAAAAUCUUAAAUCCCUAACUGUUAUUCCCAAUUUUUGGAAUCCCUAACUUCACCCAUCGAUUCCAGUCUUCCACUAACAUUCCAGCUUCCUCCAUUUCUCUUACUUGAUUUCUUUUUCUCCUCCUCAAUGUGUUCAUCGCCAAACGUCUACCAUCGAUCAAUAUCAUUCUGAGUAAUUGGGCAUCAGAUUUCCAGACUUCUUCAUCCGGUUAUCUUCGUUCCAUUUCUUCUGUUAUUGGUUUUUAUUUCUUCAUUCCAUUUCCAGAGUUUUAUUUCUCCUGUUAUCAUUCCUUUUUUUUAUGUUCCCACUUCCCAUAUUUCAUAUUUUCAUGGAUGUUUUAUUAAAUAUAAAUUUCAUGCUCCAUCUUCAUUAAAUUUCAUGAAUUAUGAUGCUUUAUUAAACAAACAUUAGUAUUUAGGAUGUUCAAGCUUCUGUUACAAAUCUUGCAUCACACACCAAAGUCAUAAAAAGGACUAAAGGUUCUUGUCAAUUCUUGCAGACGUGCAGCCAUGUCUGUCACUGCAGGUGUAAGUGAUGCUGUUAUAGCUAUACGUGAGAAGCUAAAAGGAAAGAUUGGCCAGACAAAGGUAAAAAGAUACUGGCCUGGCAAAGCUCCUGAAUGGGCAGAUGAUAUUGAGGAGGAUACUGAAUUCAGGACAUCAUCAAGGUCAUCGGCCCUUGAGAAAGCCUUCCCCACCCAUUUUGAUUCAGAGCCCAUUGGCAAGGAUGACCGCAGGUUGCGUCGUCUAGCUGAGAAUAGGACAGAAAAUAAAGAAGAAGUGAGGGCCGAUCACCGACGAAUACGACAAGCAGAAAUUGUUUCCACAAUUGAAGAGGAGAAUGAAAGACAGCAUGGUCUGGAUUUAGAAGAAGAAGAUGAAGAUGCUAUUGAAGAGAGGAGGAGGAAGAUAAGAGAAAAAUUGCUCCAAAGGGAGCAGGAAGCCGCUCUUCUACCUGUUGAGGAGGAAGAUGAGGAGGAGGAGGAAGAAGAGGAAGAAGAAUCAGAGUAUGAGACAGAUUCUGAAGAUGAGCAGAUGGGUAUAGCCAUGGUGAAACCAGUCUUUGUUCCAAAGAGCGAAAGGGACACUGUGGCUGAGCGUGAAAGGAUUGAGGCAGAGGAAAAGGCUCUUGAGGACAGGAUUAAGAAGAGGCUGGAAGAGCGAAAGAUUGAGACCAAACAGAUUGUUGUGGAGGAGAUUAGAAAAGAUGAGCAGAUUCAAAAGAACCUGGAAGUAGAUGCAGAUGCCGGUGAUGUUGAAACAGAUGAUGACCUGAAUGAAGCAGAAGAAUACGAAGCUUGGAAGUCUAGAGAGAUUGCACGGAUUAAAAGGGAUAGAGAGGAACGAGAUGCCAGACUGAAAGAAAAGGAGGAGAUUGAGAGAGUGAGGAACAUGACAGAGGAAGAACGUCGUGAAUGGGAGAGAAAGAAUCCAAAGACGCUUCCUCCCCAAAAUAAACAAAAGUGGAGGUUUAUGCAAAAGUAUUUUCACAAGGGUGCAUUUUACCAAACAGAAGCUGAUGAUCGCAAUGGUGUUCCCGAGUCUGAUGAUAUUUUCAGACGUGAUUUCUCUGCUCCCACAGGAGAAGAUAAGAUGGACAAGUCAAUUUUACCUAAAGUUAUGCAGGUCAAGCACUUUGGUCGGAGUGGCAGAACUAAGUGGACACAUCUUGUAAAUGAGGAUACUACCGAUUGGAACAACCCGUAAGUUGAUCUCAUGAAUCUAUAAUAUCUAUUGUUUUUCACUAGAAGAAUUAAAGACAACCCACAUUACCUUUUGUUGCAUUCAAUUACGAACUCCUUGUAAUACAAAAUAUCUUCCAAUAUCUACUACCGAUUUGGUGUUCUUUUUUUGCAGGUGGACAUCGACCGGUCCUCUUCAAGACAAGUAUCAUGCUAAGAUGGCUGGUAUGAAUGCACCAAUAGCUAAACCAAAAGGAAGCAAGAAGUUAAAGGACUGGGAAACCAAGUAGCUAAAGCCAGGUAUCAUUACAAGAUGCUUGGAUUGAAUGCAUGCACUGAAGCACCAUCAAACCAAAAGGCCCUCCUCUUGAAGAUCUGUCAGGUCACCAGAAUACUCAAUUAAAAAUAUCUCACGACUCUUCUAGCACAAUUAUAUAUUUAGAACAACUUUAGUACAAUUUUAGCACAAUUCUAUAUUUCUAAUCAAGGUAUUCACUAGUCAAUCGGUAAUCUCAAUAACAUGAUAGAUAAUAAUAAUAAUAAUUAAAAUCUUUAGGGGUUUAUUCUAAUUUAAAUCAAAAUCUCUCCAAAAUAAAAGCAAUUGAAAAUUUCAGAAUCCUUCCAAAAAAUUCUAAACUACUUGACAAUCCAAAAAAUUUACAAUUAAAUUAAGAUUCGAUAAUUUGUUUAGAAAAAAAUAAAUGAGGUUGAGCUUAAUUUCUCCAUUUGAGGUCCUUUAAAAAUCUACAGUUUAUUUGUAUUUCAACAGUGAUUCAAAAAAUUCGAAAAUGGUUAAAAGACUUUGGUAGAUUUUUAAGACAUUCGGUAAAUAUUUCUAAAUAUUAAACAUUUGAAUUUAAUUUAUUUUCUUUUUUCGUCGUGUCAUUUUUUAUAAUUAAAAAAAAAAACGAUGAUAUUGAUAUCUCUUUCAAAUCCUAAUUGUUGCUUUCCUUUUUUUUAUCUUUUCCAAACCCUAAUUCUUUCUCUCAAGCUGAGAGUCUGAGACAGACCUAUAUAGGCCCGACUCAAAAAUUCAAAAUCCAUCACAUAGGGUUAACUAAAUAUUGUUGACCUAUGUAAAAUAUAACUAUAUAAGAAAUUAAGAAUGGCCGGGGACCGAGGUGAAAGAGUUUCUAUAGGAAGGAUAUUAAUAAUGUACCCAUAAAUUUUUUAUAAAUAGCCCCCUAAAUUAUUUAAACCUUAAUUUCAAAUCCCAUAAAAUCUUAAAUCCCUAAAUGUUAUUUCUAAUUCCCAAAUUCUCGAAUCCCUGACUUCACCCAUCGAUUCCAGCCUUCUUCCUACUAACAUUCCAGCUUCCUCCAUUUCUCUUACUUGAUUUCUUCCUCAACGUGUUCAUCGCCAGACGUCUACCAUCGAUCAAGAUCAUCCCGAGCAAUUGAGCAUCAGAUUUCCAGACUUUUUCAUC
rnacentral:lncRNA from 1 species